rnacentral:RNase_P_RNA from 1 species
AAUUUCGACAGUUGCUGGCGUAAGCUAGAGGAAAGUCCAUGCUCGCACAGUCUGAGAUGACUGUAGUGUUUGUGCUAGAUUAAUCAAUAAGUCUAGGCAGGAGCAAUCCUGACGGCUGUUCUCUAACCUAAGGAUGUAAAUCUAUGGAAAGGGACUUUAAAAGUGCCACAGAGACGAGCUGAUAUGGAAACAUAUCAGGUGGAACGGGUAAACCCCACAAGCGAGAAACCCAAAUUUGGUAGGGGAACCGAGGGAAUGUGAAAUGAAGCAAACCCCGGAUAACAGAAAUGUUAUAGAUAAAUAACUGUCUAAUACAGAACAUGGCUUAUGGA